AGGAAUAUUGGUCAAUGGGCGCGAGCCUGAACCAGCCAAGUCGCGUGAGGGAUGAAGGUUCUAUGGAUCGUAAACCUCUUUUAUAAGGGAAUAAAGUGCGGGACGUGUCCCGUUUUGUAUGUACCUUAUGAAUAAGGAUCGGCUAACUCCGUGCCAGCAGCCGCGGUAAUACGGAGGAUCCGAGCGUUAUCCGGAUUUAUUGGGUUUAAAGGGUGCGUAGGCGGCCUUUUAAGUCAGCGGUGAAAGUCUGUGGCUCAACCAUAGAAUUGCCGUUGAAACUGGGGGGCUUGAGUAUGUUUGAGGCAGGCGGAAUGCGUGGUGUAGCGGUGAAAUGCUUAGAUAUCACGCAGAACCCCGAUUGCGAAGGCAGCCUGCCAAGCCAUGACUGACGCUGAUGCACGAAAGCGUGGGGAUCAAACAGGAUUAGAUACCCUGGUAGUCCACGCAGUAAACGAUGAUCACUAGCUGUUUGCGAUACAGUGUAAGCGGCACAGCGAAAGCGUUAAGUGAUCCACCUGGGGAGUACGCCGGCAACGGUGAAACUCAAAGGAAUUGACGGGGGCCCGCACAAGCGGAGGAACAUGUGGUUUAAUUCGAUGAUACGCGAGGAACCUUACCCGGGUUUGAACGCAUUCGGACCGAGGUGGAAACACCUUUUCUAGCAAUAGCCGUUUGCGAGGUGCUGCAUGGUUGUCGUCAGCUCGUGCCGUGAGGUGUCGGCUUAAGUGCCAUAACGAGCGCAACCCUUGCCACUAGUUACUAACAGGUGAUGCUGAGGACUCUGGUGGGACUGCCAGCGUAAGCUGCGAGGAAGGCGGGGAUGACGUCAAAUCAGCACGGCCCUUACAUCCGGGGCGACACACGUGUUACAAUGGCGUGGACAAAGGGAUGCCACCUGGCGACAGGGAGCGAAUCCCCAAACCACGUCUCAGUUCGGAUCGGAGUCUGCAACCCGACUCCGUGAAGCUGGAUUCGCUAGUAAUCGCGCAUCAGCCAUGGCGCGGUGAAUACGUUCCCG
rnacentral:rRNA from 1 species